AUUAUUCGCAACAGUAUAUCAAUAUAAAAAAGCAAGAGAAGUAACAUCAUUCACAACUGUACAUCAAUAUAUAAAAUAUUCACAAAAUUACACAUUGGCAUUUAUACCACAACUUCAAUAUGGAUGUCGUUCCCAAUAAAAUUAAGCCUCACAAUAGUUCAAAAAAAUGUCCAUCAGCAUGAACAUAUCACCAGUAAUAUAUCAACAGAGCCAACCUAUUAUCACAUGCACAUAAAUAUUAGACACGGAACAAAAUAGCACUUGCAUGUAUGUGGUCAUCACCUCAAAAGGGAAAUCGAAGAUCAAGACAUAAUUUCUUCAAUCACGUCAUCUCCUCCUUUUUGCUGAUGAUAUUUUUACCUAAUUACAUACAUCAUUAAGGAUAUUAGCAUCUAAUCUUAAUAUAUGAAACUUAGAUUAUUGCAAGGUAACCAACUAGACCUAUGGUUUUCUAACUAUACAACUUAUUAAUAAACGUGCCACAUGAAAUAACAUCACAUUUAAUCAUGCAAUGACCAAUUACAGUACAAACUUUUCCUUAAUUACCGUAUUAAGAACUUCUUGCAUGUCAAACUAAAUUUAUGCAUUUGAAAGUCCUAACGCUGAUCUACAAUACCGUCAAAUAUUUGUUGUCCAAAUUCCGGCUCUAACCCAACCUAAACUUUCAAUAGAAGUACUAAUUAUGACUUAAUGACAAAAGUAGCAACAUUGUGCAUGUCAAGAAAAUUACUAGUAAUGGACACGACUAACACUGAUCUACAACAUCUCCAACUUACUCUUCUAAAAAAUACUAUAAAUGCAGCAUAUCUCGUCUGGAAACAUUUCUAACUUCUAAGCAUAGCUAAUGACGAUCUAAAAAACUAGCCAAUUUCCACCGUGCAUGCCCAAAAAAACCAUGUAUUGCAAAGCUCAUACCUUGAUCUUCAAAUUCGUAGUUCACUUCGCACGACAAAUCAUACUCCAGGAGUUCCGAAUGACUCCACAGAGUGAUGAAAUAAAGCCUAAAACAACAUAGAAUACAUACUUAGGAACUAAUCAAACAGAGUAAAAACAUCAUGCAUGCGAACGAAACCAACAAAGGUGGAUAGAUCUUACCUUGAUCUAUCUUUUCUUCAACUUCAAAGUUCAACUGUAAAUCGCCC
rnacentral:lncRNA from 1 species